AAUGGCUUAGAAAUGGAGAUGAGCACACACACACACACACACACACCCAGAGCCGGACACGACUACACUUAAUGUCAGAGGAAAAUCUUUACCUAUGUGAAGACAAAUAUUUCAAAUUGUUUCUUCCCACUGUGGGGAAAAUAAAUAUUCCUCCAUGAUAUACUUCCCAUUUUCCACCACCUGCAAAAAUUGCUGCAAAAGAAUUAUUCUGCAUAAUUUUUGUCUCUACAGAAUAAUUCUCAUCCAGCACUCCAGGGUAUUAAAUAAAAUACCAGGGGAAAACUGCACAUUGUUCUCACUGUUCUGUUAAAGGUGUGUGUGUGUGUGAGAGAGAGAGAGAGAGAGAGAGAGAGAGAGAGGAAACCCAUUUCUCAAUUUGUACAUGAAUAAUUGGGAAUAUUCUUUCCAUCCUUAGUGCAAUGUUUUGUAAAGAUAGGCUUCUAGCUGGUUUCUAUUUUCUUAAUUAUUGGAAAAUAGAACCACAUUUUGCACAUUAAAAUUUUAACUUGAAAGUGUGGGGGAAGAGGCAGUGUAAUGAUUAGGGGAGAAAAGAAACAUAUUAAGAUAUUAGUAAGUGGGUAAUGUAUAGGUGUAUGUACUGUAUACAACAGUUUUGGAUCUUUUCUUUCUCUUUUUUCUUCUUUCUCUGGUUGCAGGAGCAGAAAUCUUUUCAGUGGUUGCCAUAUAGUCACUGUUCUUCUUUACAGUCCUAAAUACAGUGGGAUUCAACUUUCAGCUUCCUCCUUCGAAUGCCCUGGAUGAAUAAUAUAGUAGGGUUGAAGAGCUUCAGGACAUGAGGUGCUGAAUCUAGCUGUCCUUGGUGACCUUGUCUGGCAUAUUAGGUCACAAUCCCUUUCAAUUGAAACACCAGUGUAGUGAUUUCCUUGCUUCCCAUUUUAAAAAGUUGAAAUAGCUCACACUGUUUGGGAGGGGGCCUUUUCUCCAAUCUUCCACCAUCACCAAUGUGUCUGGGGAAAUAGGAAAGCCCAGCUAAUAUUUGGUUAAGAGAUUCAGAACCAUAACAGUGAACAGCGGCAGAAAAAGAAACAAACAAAGCCAAGUUUUAAAAGCAAAAACAAACUGACUGCCAAGAGCUAUUCCUCUGAAUAUUUUUCACAUGUCACUGGAAAGUCCACAAAAUGCCCCAUCUCCAGCAAUAAAUUUAAAGAGUUUGUAAGAAUGAAAACAAUAGAGAAGAUUUUCACAAAACUAUAAAUAAUAAAUUAAUUAAUGCAA